rnacentral:ncRNA from 1 species
CUAUCGUUUCCGUGUCGCUGACCAUUCAGCGACACGGGCUUGGCGGCCCCGAAUU